GGCGCGCUUAACACAUGCAAGUCGUGCGAGAAAGGGGUAACCCCGGUAAAGCGGCGCACGGGUGAGUAACACGUAAAUAAUCUACCCCCAGGUGGUGGAUAACCUUCCGAAAGGAGGGCUAAUACAGCAUGAGACCACGGGUCCGCAAGGGCUUGAGGUCAAAGCCGGCCUCUUCACGAAAGCUGGCGCCAGGGGAUGAGUCUGCGGCCCAUCAGCUAGUUGGUAGGGUAACGGCCUACCAAGGCGAAGACGGGUAGCUGGUCUGAGAGGAUGAUCAGCCACACUGGAACUGAGACACGGUCCAGACUCCUACGGGAGGCAGCAGUGGGGAAUCUUGCGCAAUGGGCGAAAGCCUGACGCAGCGACGCCGCGUGAGUGAUGAAGGCCUUCGGGUUGUAAAGCUCUGUGGAGGGGGACNAAUAAGUCGUGGCCAACAUCCACGAUGAUGACGGUACCCCUUUAGCAAGCACCGGCUAACUCUGUGCCAGCAGCCGCGGUAAGACAGAAGGUGCAAACGUUGUUCGGAAUUACUGGGCGUAAAGCGCGUGUAGGCUGCUCUGCAA
rnacentral:rRNA from 1 species